GGCUCUGCGCUGCAAUGGAUAGCGCAUUGGACUUCUAGGCUCAAUAUUGAAGUUAUUCAAAAGUUAUGGGUUCAAGUCCCACUAGAGUCA